rnacentral:rRNA from 1 species
UACAGAGGGUGCAAGCGUUAAUCGGAAUUACUGGGCGUAAAGCGUGCGUAGGUGGUUUACUAAGUCAGGUGUGAAAUCCCCGGGCUCAACCUGGGAACUGCGCUUGAUACUGGUAAACUAGAGUUUAGUAGAGGGAAGUGGAAUUCCACGUGUAGCGGUGAAAUGCGUAGAUAUCGGGAGGAACACCAGUGGCGAAGGCGACUACCUGGACCAGCACUGACACUGAGGCACGAAAGCGUGGGGAGCAAACAGG